CCCUUAGAUGUUCUGGGCCGCACGCGUGCUACACUGAGUGGAUCAGCGGGUCAGGUUGCGCGAAAGUGUUUCCUAAUCUUGAAAUCCGCUCGUGAUGGGGAUUGACGGUUGCAAUUUUCCGUCAUGAACGAUGAAUACCUUGUAAGCGCGGGUCAUCAUCCCGCGCUGAAUACGUCCCUGCCCUUUGUACACACCGCCCGUCGCUCCUACCGAUUGAGUGGUCCGGUGAGGCUUUGGGAUCUGAGCGGAAAGAGCGUUUCGCUGUUUCUGCUCGGAAAACUCAGUCGAACCUUAUCAUUUAGAGGAAGGAGAAGUCGUAACA
rnacentral:rRNA from 1 species